AUCACUAGCUCUGCUUUAUUUAGAUUUGAAAUAUGGCUGUGCUCCUUGUUAACUAGAGUCUUUGUUAUAAGAAGUUCAAUAAAAAUAGCAUAAGGUGAAGCUUCUCAGUGCUUUGAAAUGUGCAUUUCUUCUUCCGAGACCGCUUCACAUCAGUCUUGGCUAGGCUUUCUGCCAGUGUUUUGUUGCAAUUACUUGACUCCUGUAGAUUAGAUAAUGACCUCAGCUUCUUCACUGAAGAGAGACAAAAGAUUCAAAAAUAUGCUCUGAAAGAUCUUUAUAGCUACAUUGCUUUGUGAUCCUACAAAGGCUGAAUCUGGGGGAAAGUGGGAGAAAGGAGAAAAUCGUCUUUCAAUUCUCACUUUCAUCUUCUCCACAGUUUUUUUUUUUUUUUUCCUGAAUGAAUCUGGUCAACCUUCAUCUAACUUGGAAGAACUUUAAAUGCUUUUCUCAGUUUUUCUUCCCAGUCCUGUCGUAUUAAGGGAGUUAUUUAACCCCUCAAGUGUAAAACGAUGAUUAUAAUAGUGUGUAUGGCAAAGGUUGAUGUGAAGGUUGGAACAGAAAUAGAAAAGCCUUUAAAAUCCCAGAGGGACUCCAGACACCAAUGGUCCCAGGACUAUUCAGGCAGGGUUUCUUGCUAGAAUCUCCAAACCAGACCUUGUAGGAGUUCUUCACUUUGCUUGCUUUAUGGGUUUUUUUUUUUUAACUUUUAUAAUGUUUAUUUAUUUUUGAGAGAGAGAGAGAGAGAGAGUUGAGAAGGGGCAGAGACAGAGGGAGACACAGAAUCUGAAGCAGGCUCCAGGCUCUGAGCUGUCAGCACAGAGCCCAACAUGGGGCUCGAAUCCACGAACUGUGAGAUCAUGACCUGAGCCAAAGUCUGGCGCUCAACCGACUGAGCCACCCAGGCACCCAUGCUUUAUGAGUUUCUUAAAUAAUCUUCGCUGAUCAGGAAGUCGAGUAUGGUGAGAUGAAAAGGUUUAAAAUCGGUUGAUCAGUGUCCUGAGAAGCAUGAGUUGGGAAAGGGAGAAGAUUUGAAUUGGGAUAUGGAGGACAACCUCCUUCCAGGGUUCUCACCAGUGUUUUGAGCUAGAGCAAGUCACAUGGCCUCCCUGAGCUCUAGUUCCUAAGUGCAAACAGUAACCCUGCUCUUCCUGGGAAGAUCGUUGCAAGGGAAUAGACAGAAAACAAAACAAAACAAAAACAAACAAAAAACCAAUAAAACGACAAACCCCCACCCCCCCGAUCACCUGAAUGGUGAAUGAACAUGUUGGACAAUAACCAACUGCACUAAUAAGUAUGGAAAUACACAGUAAAACAACAAGGUAUGAUUCCAAUUGCAAAGAUUUUGAAGUGUGACUAUAUUGAAUACUGGUCAAUAAAUGAGGAGAUAGGAAUUUAUAGUCACUGUUACAGAGUUCCAUUGACAUGAUUCCCAUGAGAAUAAAUUUGUUUAUAUUUAGGAAAUUUAAAAAUGUAUCCUCUUACAACCUAAAAAUUUUACUUCAUGUGUAUUCUAGAAAUAUCUUUUAUGUACAAACACAAAGAAACCUGUAUGAGGAUAUUCAUUUGAAUACUUAUAAUAACAAAAAUUGGAAACUCCAAAUAUAUGGAAAGGAGGACAGAUAAAUAUUCAUAUAACUAAAUACUACACAGCAUGUAGAAGGAAUGAAUGUGAUUAUAUAUAGUAUCUAUAAAAUAAUGUACUUAGACAUGGAUACAUUUUUUUUAAGUAUUUUUUAAAAUGUAGUUUUGAGAGAGAGAGAAAGCACAAGUGGGAGCAGAAAGAGGGAAGGAGAGAGAAUCCCAAGCAGGAUCUGCACUUUCAGCACAGAGCCCAAAGUGGGCCUUGCACCCACAAACUGCGAGAUCAUGACCUGAGCCGAAGUCGGAUACUUACGCAACCGAGCCACCCAGGUGCCCCCAACACGGAUAAAUUUUAAAAACCUAAAGUUAUUGUCCAACUAUAGGCAUAAAGUACUAUUUAUGUAAGUUAGAAAUACUAUUUCUUACAAAACAAUACUAUAUAUUAUUUAUACUAUUAAUGGAUAUAUAUAUAUAUAUACACAUAUAUGUGUGUAAACUAAAACGUAUAUACAUGUACACACAGAUACACACACACAGCUGAAAAACGGACUGCGAAUACAUAUAUACAAAUGAAAUGGUAAUGGUAAUGGUUGGCUCUGGGGAGAAAGAGGGUAAAGAGACUGGAAAUGGGGAUAAAGCAGAUUUCAAGUAUAUUGUAAUGUUUUCUUCCUUUGAUAAGAAAGAAAAGCAAAUACGAGCAUAUGUUAACAGUUCUCAAUUCUGUACUUGGCCGCAUUUUUAAUUUUCUUAAAAUAAAGAUUAUCAUUAUUCUUGACUCAUACUUAGUAGUCAUUAUUAUGACUUCGAACAGAUUUAUGAAAUCAAAGAAAAAUAAUUCAAAUGAACCCCACAUUUAUGUAAUUAAUUUAUAGAAGCAACGUAAAUUCAAUCUCAAAGGCUUCCCACUGGCAGAUUUUCAGGAAGGAGAAACAAGAAGGAAGGCACAGGAACAAGUGGGGGCACUGGCUGUUCCCCACGAUGACGUCACAAAGAGCACAGGCCCAAGCUCCCCCCAUGCUUCUUUUACAGACUUAAAACUGCUUAUUCUAUUCCUUUGUGAUGUCUUUUAGCGCUCCUUUCUCUUUCAAGACCACUUUGGAUGAUCACAUUCAAGUGACCUUAUCUGGAUAAAGAUGCUGAGUUGGGGGGGGGGGGCCCAGAUUGGCUUUGCACCCCACACAUCCCUGGAUAUAGACUGAAAAACCAUCUACUCUGCCACCCCAGCUAAACAAACCUCAUAUUUAUUUUCUUACGAAAUAAGCUUGCAGUACUCCCUAGUUUACAUAUUUGUCAGCCAUUCUGCAGAGUUUGAAUGGCAUCACUCAAGGAUUUGUUAUUAAAUGAGAGAAAUAUUGAGGCUAAGCAUAAAAGAAAAACAGCAAUUUCAAUAGGUCAGUCAUCACCCUUAUUAGGCCACGGGGCUUUCCAAAGUGAAUAUUUUCAACCAGAGCUGUCUUUUUAAAAACAUGUUUAUUUAUUUUGAGAGAGAGUACAAGCAGGGGAGGGGCAGAGCCUGAUGCAGAGCUCCAUCUCAGGAACCAUGAGACCCUGACCUGUGAGCUGAAAUUAGGAGUCAAAUGCUUAACUGUGAGAUCAUAACCUGAGCCGAAGUCAAGAGUCAGAUGCUUAACUAACUGAGCCAGGAGGCACCCAUGGUCAAAGCUGUCUUUUAGUCCAUCAAUUAUUAAGUAGAUCAAGGAAAGGAGAGAGAUCAACAUUCCAGAGGAGUAGGUGGACCUGAAGUUUCCUCGUCCCUCAAACACAGCAGUGUUGAGGACAGAGGCCUUGGAAAUUCCAAGAGUCUGGGCUGCAGAGUGACAGAGACGUCUCCUGGGGCCCACGGAGACGACUUGGCAGGCCAUGGCAAUGUGCCAGGGAAUGGAAUACAAGAUGAAACAGACACAUUCCUGCCCUUCUGGAGCUCUCUGACUAGUGCGAGAAUCAGAUAGAUGUAUUAAUCUGGCUGCUGUAUGAAGAAUGGACUUGAAGGAGUAAACAGAAGGCAGAGUGGCCAGUUGGGAGAGAUAAUGAGAGUCUGGACUAAGGGGACAGCGAUGGGGACAGAUUCGUAAAAUUGGCAGGAUUUGUAAGUGAGCAAACGUAAAGGUGAUGGAAUAACCAAAGUCGAGUCUCCAAAUGCUAGCUAGGAUAACUUCAUGAAUGAUAGCAGCACUAAGAGAACACAGGAAGGUUUGGGACAAGGUUGAUCUUUUCAGUCUGGGACUGGGUGAGUUUGUGAUAAUAGGGUGAUACCUGUGAGUAGUGAGGCUUACACCUAGGAGAAGAUCGAGAGAAGAACCUUCAGUACAGGUAAAGGUUUGGAAGUUGUUAGCACACUGGUACCAUUUGGAAUCAUGAAAGUAGAUGAAGUCAGCCUUUCAAAAUUAUUGUGUAGAAUAAGUCAGUGAGCAAGGAUGGGAUCUGAGGAAAUCUACUAUUUAAAGGGUAGGCAGAAGAAGAUAAGGCCAAAGAGGAAACAGGGAAGGAACUAAAUAUGAGAAAGAAAAGAACCAGGAAAGUCAAAUGUAAUGAAAGCCAAGAAAGUAGAGAGUUUCAAAGUAGAGAGAGCAAUCAAUAUUGCCAAAAUAGCAUGCUAAUUCAAUAUGAAAAAAAUUGAGAACUGUCCGCUGGGUUUGAUAAUUAAGUGAUUAUUUGUGACCUUAACUAAAGUGGUUCCAGCAGACUGAGGGAAGAAAAAGCCCGAGUACCAAUAAAGCAUGCAUUGAACAGGAGAUGUGAGCUAAGCUAGAGUCUAUUCUGCUCUUUUGAGAUGUUCGGGGAGGAAGGGGAAGGGGCAGACUAAUGGUAAUCCAAGCAAAACACUGGGUCAGAGGAGGAUAUUUUUAUGAUGAACAAUGCUUGAUGUGUUUAUAGGCUGUGGAGAAAGAGCUACUGGACAGAGAGAAGAGGGGAUGACUGAAUAAGGACCAUGAAGUAGCAGGAAAGGAUGGACUCAAAAGAAAAGACGGAGAAUAUAUCAGUUUCCUAAGGCCGCUGAAGCAAAUGCCACAACUGAAUGGCCUAAAACAACAGAAAUGUAGUAUCUUACAGUUCUGGAGUCUAGAAGCCUGAAGUCAAGGUGGAUCAUGCUCUCUCAGACUCUGGGUAGAAACUUUCCUUGCCUCUUCCUAGCUUCUGAUGGUGGCCAUUGGUCUUCACCUGUCACUGUGUGUGUGUGUGUGUGUGUGUGUGUGUGUGUGUGUCCAAAUUUCCUUCUUAAUGACCUCAUUUUCACUUGAUUCCAUUCACAAAGACCCUAUUUCCAGCAAGGUCACAUUCACAAGUACCAGAGGUUAGGACAUCAACCUAUCUUUUUGGAGAACACCAUUCAACCCCUAACAAAGGAGUUGAUCUUGAAAAAAACCACAACCCUAACAGAGGGAUUGAUCUUGAGAAAAGGUAUCUCAUCCUCUGAGAAAAAAAGGUAGGAUGGGAAUGGAUGUAGAUAAGAUUGUAGGUAAAGAGGGCAGGACGUUGAAACAGUUCAUGCCUAAUAGCCUCAAUUAUCAUAUGUUGAGAGUAAACUGGGACAGAGUUGAACAAGGAGCUUAAAGAGAGUGGCAAAGAUCUAGAAAAGUUAUUAAAGGGAAUGGACAAACUAACCUAGGACGAGUGAAAAGAUUGAUGGAUGAAGGUGGUGAGGGUUCACUUAAGGCAAGAAAGUGAAGUGAGUGAAAUGGUACCCCCACUCCUGCCAAAAAAGGAAGGGGGAUGUUUACAGCAGAUCAAAGAAUUCAGCAAGAUUAAUGCAGGGGAGUGGAAGAAAUCCACAUUAGGAGGAGGCAGCAGGGGGUCAGAGCUGGGAUGCUAACAGAGGGUGAGACUGCCUUUCCCCUGACUGAAGAGUGAGAUGCAUGUCUGGAAGAAACUGGCUGCAUAUAAUUUAAUUCUGACACAUAUUGGAAUAGACUAUUCAUUCCUUGAAAAAUAUGGCCAAGACUCAGGAAAGACAAAAAAGUGUUUUUGGCUGCUUUACAAUUUGUAAAGACUUUUCACAUAGGCUGUUCUAUCUAAAGCAAGAACCACAUCUUACACAAAUUCCCAUAGAACUUAGUUAAGUACAUGAGGGACUCAGAAUAAGCUUGUUUCUUGUAGAUUCGCACAUUUUGCUUGAAACAAAGAAACCAGUCUACUACGUCUGUGACAAUGCGCAGAAAUCUAAGGAAGAAACUAGGCAUAGACAGGUACAUUUUGAUGGGAGAAAAAGGAAUAGAAGAGAUGUAGUUGAUAAGACUUGCAAGGUGUCAUAGAAAAGGGCUUGGAAUCUGGAGUCAGAUACACCUCUGUUGGUUUUUGAUUUUUGUGUGUAUGACUAUAGUGGAAGCCAUAUGUCUGUUUCUUGUCUCAAAAAUGAUGACCAGGAUGGCAAACUCGCCAAGAGGCCGAAUGAAAACCAAGACGGGUCACAUUUGGCCAACACGGAGCUUUUUUAAAAGUUGAGUUUGAAUGCAUUUAGCCAGGGUCCUAUCCAUUUGCCAUAAAAACAAAGGAAAGGGGAAAACACCACAUCGUUAUGAAAUUCUGGACACCGACUAUUGUCGAAGUGACCAGGUUGUUUUCCACCAUCUAGUGGAAAUGGUGGCCAAGAUAUGAGUUAACUCCAACUGCAGAAAAUUACAGAUAGCUACAUUUCUUAAAAACCUCAGGUUGUAGUCUAUGAAAUUCAUGCCCACUAUGCUGGUCAAUCUGAAUGAUCACCAUUUGGAUUUUCUCAGCUCUUUAGUGGUUAUAGUUGUGUGUUUAACACUAUAGCUUUAUUUUUAUUAUUAUUCUUGCUAGGAACAGGUCUACUUCAUUCAAAUAUCCUGUUCCCCCCUACUCUGCCAUUUGUGCUGUAGCAUUUGGCUCGGUCACCGCAAGUGGUUGAAGCUUAAGACCAACACUAAUGUAACUUACAGAAAGGGAAGGAAAGAAAAUGAGAUUGAUUUAAAAAAUUCACUUAUUUCUAAAUGUUAAUUAAAAAAAGGAAAUAGUUUCUUUCUUUGUUUUCUUAAGUCUAUUUACUUAUUUUGAGAGAGAGAGAGAGGGCGUGUGUGUGUGUGUGCACGUGCACAUGCGCACGCA